CACAGUUUGAGAUGGAGCUUACAUUCAUACUCCCACAUAACACACAUAACAUCACCUUUUGGCACUUUUCAGGACAAAAAAAAAGGUAAAGGUAAAAGUAAAGAGUAACUGAAAGAUGUCACAUUCACUGUCGCUGGAGGUGAUGGAGAUGGCCGAGGCGGCGGCUUUGCUGGACAGGCUGGCCUCCGGACUGGAGGAGUUCCCCAGACGAUCCACCGUCCCGUCCUCGUCCGCUAGGGAGCGAACCGAGCCCCCGGACAGGACCUGCUGCUGGAGCCUGGACACAAAACACGAGAACAGGGGGUUAUAAUCACAUGAAGGGUGCAGGGUGCGCCCCUUCCUUUCAGUUUCACUCACACGUCAAAACCCUUCGCUUCAAAUAAACCAUUUUUGUUUGUU